UACAGAGGUCUCAAGCGUUGUUCGGAUUCAUUGGGCGUAAAGGGUGCGUAGGUGGCGCCGUAAGUCGGGUGUGAAAUUUCGGAGCUUAACUCCGAAACUGCAUUCGAUACUGCGGUGCUUUGAGGACUGGAGAGGAGACUGGAAUUCAUGGUGUAGCAGUGAAAUGCGUAGAGAUCAUGAGGAAGACCAGUGGCGAAGGCGGGUCUCUGGACAGUUCCUGACACUGAGCACGAAGGCCAGGGGAGCAAACGGG
rnacentral:rRNA from 1 species